rnacentral:tRNA from 2 species
GAAAUAUCAAUAAAUAAGCUUCUAACUUAAAUAAUAGCGUAAAUACGUUAAUAUUUCU